GGAAAGGAGAAAUCAGGAUAGCCCUGGAAUCACAUCGUUGUGGAACACUUUGGUAAUAAAGAUUUUGGGAAGGGUUAGGAGUGUAAUCUCACUUUGAAAGCGACAUCUUGGGUAAGGGUCAAGUUACUGUCUUGUACGGGAUAUGCCUGGGAUGUAGUUGUUGGGUAUGGGUAUAACGGGUAUACAAAAAUGUAACUUUAUAGCACUAUAAAGGGAGGUGAACCGUCCCCUCUUAAACGGACACUAUUCAUUGAUAGGACAGCCACGGUUACAUUCGCUUGAGGUAUCUUUGCCUUCGUGUUGCUACUUCGUCUUACCUACUAUUUGGUUAAGGCCCAACACUUGACAAACACUUCACAUCUCCAAAUCUUUAGAAAAGACAAACUGGGAGUCUUUCCAGUCCACAUCUCAUAUGGUGUCUUAACUACAGAUUUAGACGAUACCCUAUUUAGUGUGAAAGCUGUUGUUUCUAGAGCGUAUCCCAAAAGUGAU
rnacentral:lncRNA from 1 species